rnacentral:misc_RNA from 1 species
GAAAUGCGAUAAGUAAUGUGAAUUGCAGAAUUCAGUGAAUCAUCGAAUCUUUGAACGCACAUUGCGCCCAUUAGUAUUCUAGUGGGCAUGCCUGUCCGAGCGUCAUUUCAACCCCUAAGCACAGCUUAUUGUUGGGCGUCUACGUCUGUAGUGCCUCAAAGACAUUGGCGGAGCGGCAGCAGUCCUCUGAGCGUAGUAAUUCUUUAUCUCGCUUCUGUUAGGCGCUGCCCCCCCGGCCGUAAAACCCCCAAUUUUUUCUGGUUGACCUCGGAUCAGGUAGGAAUACCCGCUGAACUUAAGC